rnacentral:rRNA from 1 species
UACGUAGGGACCGAGCGUUGUCCGGAUUUAUUGGGCGUAAAGAGCGUGUAGGCGGCCAGGUAGGUCUGCUGUGAAAACUCGAGGCUCAACCUCGAGAUGUCGGCGGAAACCAUCUGGCUAGAGUCCGGAAGAGGAGAAUGGAAUUCCCGGUGUAGCGGUGAAAUGCGCAGAUAUCGGGAAGAACACCCGUGGCGAAGGCGGUUCUCUGGGACGGUACUGACGCUGAGACGCGAAAGCGUGGGGAGCGAACAGG